rnacentral:rRNA from 1 species
UACAGAGGUGGCAAGCGUUGUUCGGAAUUACUGGGUGUAAAGGGCGCGUAGGCGGCCUACUAAGUCAGACGUGAAAUCCCCCGGCUUAACCUGGGAACUGCGUCUGAUACUGGAAGGCUUGAGGAUGGGAGAGGGAUGUAGAAUUCCAGGUGUAGCGGUGAAAUGCGCAGAUAUCAGGAAGAACACCCGUGGCGAAGGCGGCUCUCUGGGACGGUACUGACGCUGAGACGCGAAAGCGUGGGGAGCGAACAGG